rnacentral:misc_RNA from 1 species
GUGAAGAACGCAGUGAAAUGCGAUAAGUAAUGUGAAUUGCAGAAUUCAGUGAAUCAUCGAAUCUUUGAACGCAUCUUGCACCCUUUGGCAUUCCGAAGGGUAUGCUCGUUUGAGUGUCAUUGUACUCUCACACUUCCAAUCUUUGGAUUGGGAGCAGUGGACUUGGGUGUUGCUGCUUACUGUGGCUCACCUCAAAUCGAUUCGUGCACCUCUUGGUUGGACAUAGUACGGCGUGAUAAGUGUCUUCGCCGGCACCUCAGUAGAGGGUGGCUGAUCAGGAGCUCUGUGCUUCAAACCGUCCUCGGACAACAACUGACAACUUGACCUCAAAUCGAGUAGGACUACCCGCUGAACUUAAGCAUAUCAAUAAGCGGAGGA